GUCACAUGUGCGAAUAAAAACAAAUCAGAUGAAUGUUUUUUCCUGUAAAUACGGCGGUGAAGUUAGUUUCAGGUUGGAUAUAUUCUCCUGUAAAUACGGCGGUGCAGUUAGUUUUAGGUUGGAUAUAUUUUCCUGUAAAUACGGUGAAGUUAGUUUCAGGUUGGAUAUAUUUUCCUGUAAAUACGGCGGUGAAGUUAGUUUUAGGUUGGAUAUAUUUUCCUGUAAAUACGGCGGUGAAGUUAGUUUUAGGUUGGAUAUAUUUUCCUGUAAAUACGGUGAAGUUAGUUUCAGGUUGGAUAUAUUUUCCUGUAAAUACGGCGGUGAAGUUAGUUUCAGGUUGGAUAUAUAUUCCUGUAAAUACGGUGAAGUUAGUUUCAGGUUGGAUAUAUAUUCCUGUAAAUACGGCGGUGAAGUUAGUUUUAGGUUGGAUAUAUUCUCCUGUAAAUACGGCGGUGAAGUUAGUUUUAGGUUGGAUAUAUUUUCCUGUAAAUACAGCGGUGAAGUUAGUUUUAGGUUGGAUAUAUUUUCCUGUAAAUACGGCGGUGAAGUUAGUUUCAGGUUGGAUAUAUUUUCCUGUAAAUACGGCGGUGAAGUUAGUUUCAGGUUGGAUAUCUGACGGACAUUCUCUGAGGAUCUACCGGUGUCUUCUCACUCUCCAUAACCGGGAAUAACAACAGCAGCGCGGUUAAAUCUACUCGACACCCUCACUGUCAACGUUGGUGUUGAAUAAGGGACCGUCAAUAAAUUACCGGUUGAUGUUCUCAGAAAAGGCUGUUUUCCUUCAAUAGCUUCACUGUCAUGUGACCAAAAGACCUAAAAUUGAUUUCUAAUAAUAGCAGAUAUGUCGACCAAUAAGACAAACAUUAUUCGAUCAAUUUUCAUUUUGCCCCUUAAGUUCUUUGUGAGCUCCUUGUGAAAAAAUUUAACACUGACACUGUAUAAAUACUGUGAGAGCUGACGGUCCAAAUCAUGUUUUUAGUGUGGAUAAAAGUGAGAGUGGAUAAAAACGCUCUCUCUCUCUCUCUCUCUCUGCUCGGUCAGAGUCGUUUUCUUGCUGUUCUGGGUUCACGGACAAACCUAUUAAAAAGGAAAUCGCCCGCUCUACCUUUGGACAAUUAUUCAAUUCUAAUAAGCUGCUGCUCCACACUCCUCAGUAAUAACAUCAUUUCCUGCUCUUCACUAACUCUUCAUGCAUUUAGCUCUGCCUCAGGCUCCUCUCUGCAUUUAGAUUAAACCCCUUUCUUCCUCUUUUUGUCCUCCUGUCUCGCUGAGGCCACGCCAUCAUCCUCUCUUCUUCUGCUCCGUCUUUCUACCGUUUUACUCUCUGGGGUUUCUUCCUGUCACGGCCGACACUCGUUCCCUCUUCUUCAACCUCCCGCUGACAGCGGCUGAGCUGAUCUGAACAAACUUUUUCUACUGCUGUGUAAACAUCCAUUACUGACCGCGGAGAGAGAGAAAAAGAGAGAGACAGAGGUGAGACGCUUCGGGAAGUGUUGGACUGACAAAACAACGAUUCCAGUGAAAGCUUUGACCUCAAUUCCACUUCAGGUGAGGAUCUCUGAGCAGCCGUCAGCUCCCGUUACUAAAACUCUGAGCACCACACUUUCCAAGAAUAGAAACACAGCAGAGAGGAGAUCAUCCAGUCGGCAACAUGCUGGAUUUUUUACCACCAGUAUCCAAAUCUAGAAGAAGUGUGGCUCAGUAAAAAUGAGGAUUUCCUGCUGUUCUCUACUUCAGUAAGGUUACGGUUCAAUGUGGCGCCGACCUACAGUCGUUAUCGACCGAUAUCUGUUCUUUAAUCGUCAAUACUGAUUAUGACGGAGAGUCGAUAUAUAAGACUGAUUAUUCACCGCACAUGACCCUCUAACUUGAUUGGUUAUCAUGUU